rnacentral:tRNA from 1 species
GCCCCCAUAGCUCAGUUGGUAAAGCAGUCGCCUAGAUAGCGAUAAAGGCCUCCAGUUCAAACCUGGGUGGAGGCG